rnacentral:rRNA from 1 species
CAGUCGCCGCGGUAAUACAGAGGGUGCGAGCGUUAAUCGGAUUUACUGGGCGUAAAGCGUGCGUAGGCGGCUUCUUAAGUCGGAUGUGAAAUCCCUGAGCUUAACUUAGGAAUUGCAUUCGAUACUGGGAAGCUAGAGUAUGGGAGAGGAUGGUAGAAUUCCAGGUGUAGCGGUGAAAUGCGUAGAGAUCUGGAGGAAUACCGAUGGCGAAGGCAGCCCCCUGGGCCAAUACUGACGCUCAUGCACGAAAGCGUGGGGAGCAAACAGGAUUAGAUACCCGCGUAGUCCCUGUCUCUUAUAC